rnacentral:tRNA from 1 species
GCCGGCGUGGUGAAAUUGGCAGACACGUAUGACUUAGGAUCAUAUGGGGAAACCCGUGGGGGUUCAAGUCCCUCCGCCGGCA